rfam:Tupaia chinensis contig173138, whole genome shotgun sequence.
CCAAAGGCCCUUUUCAGGGCCGACCAAGCAUUCAAAGAAAGCGCUGG